rnacentral:rRNA from 1 species
UACGAAAGGUGCAAGCGUUACUCGGAAUCACUGGGCGUAAAGCGCACGUAGGCGGACUCGCAGGUCAAUUGUGAAAUACCUGGGCUCAACCCGGGAACUGCAGUUGAAACCGCUUGUCUUGGAUACCUGAGAGGGUGGGGGAAUACCUGGUGGAGAAGUGAAAUUCGUAGAGAUCAGGUGGAACACCGGAGGCGAAGGCGCCUGCCUGGCAGUGUAUUGACGCUGAGGUGCGAAAGUGCGGGGAGCAAACAGG